rnacentral:rRNA from 1 species
UACGUAGGGUGCGAGCGUUAAUCGGAAUUACUGGGCGUAAAGCGUGCGCAGGCGGUUCGUGAUGUCUGAUGUGAAAGCCCCGGGCUCAACCUGGGAAUUGCAUUGGAAACUAGCGGGCUGGAGUGUGGCAGAGGGGGGUGGAAUUCCACGUGUAGCAGUGAAAUGCGUAGAGAUGUGGAAGAACACCGAUGGCGAAGGCAGCCCCCUGGGCUAACACUGACGCUCAUGCACGAAAGCGUGGGGAGCAAACAGG